AAGGCACCUGAUUUUCCAUGUAUCCCAGGCACCUGAUGUUUUUGACUUCUCCACAGCUGCUUCAGACAAAGAUUUCAGUAAGACUUUUGACCUUAUUUCCUUUACUUCUAUCCUCCUCUUUUCUUUCAUUUCUUCUCUGUAAUUCAUCAUCAACGAAGGAAGGAUGAGUGGUAUUCUUAACAUCCCUUCUCAAGUGAGUUGGAGAGAAUGGAAGAGACUCCAAAGUUGGCAAGAAUGGAGGACGAGAGGGUAUGGAUAGGGGUUUGGUAAAUAAAUCGACAAGUUGAGAUUUUGAUAGGACAAAUGAGAGAGAAAUGAGACUGAAGAGGAACCGUUGGCAAACAAAAUGGCAAUUCAGUUCCACAUGUUUCGUACGCUCGUGGAAAAUGGGGUUCCAGGCGUAUUAAUGGUAGCUUAGCGAUCGAAAAAGAUGGGAACUGAGUGGGACGGAGAAAUUGAUAAAUCGGAGAGGAGGCGGGUUAACCAAGUUAUUCGGCAACAAAACGUCUCAUGGAUCUAUAUUCUUGUCUAAAUUUUCUUUGAGUAAGGAUAAAGAUACAAAGGGUUGCUUCUUUGAUUUUCAUGAAAUUAGAUCCCCCAUGACUGAUGAAGAAGCCAUUGAUAGAUCAACGAGAAUAGCGGCAGUAAGCUAAUCUGCAUUAUAGAAGGCUAAGAGAUCAAAGGAAGGUGAUGAAGAAGAAAAAAACCGUUGACUUGGAUCCACCGAGAUAUCGUAGAACUCGCUAAGGAGCAAAGAAACGAUUAAUACAAGGUUGGUUCAUAUAUUGACUAAGGGUUAAGACGAUAAAACACGAAUCUGGACGAGUGUGAGUUGAAUAAUUUAACUUGCCAAUCAAAUGACGAUAUAGGGUGGGAUCAAUAAGGGGAGGACCAGAAUUAGCAGUCAACUUUGAAUUGAAGAGGGAUCGAGUAAAGAUGAGACAGAGUAUACAUCAAAACAAUAGAAAUCUGAGAGUAAUUGGAUACGUAUCUUGGCGGGGCAACCCGGAGGGCUGAUGAUAUGCAACCGGUGCUUGAAGCCAUGGAAGUGUUUCCAGUUUAUCUUGCCAUUCGAGAAAUGGCAUGUUAUUCAUCAACACAGGUGAUCGUAAGCUGCAGUUGAAGUCCUUCAUUUCCUCUAUCCAUGAGUCUAAAGCUGCUUUGGUGGCCACUUCUUGGCUGCUUACUGCCUCAGCGAAGUACUCUAUCAUUUUGCCUUGUGGGCUAUAGCCUACCAGCAAUUAGCCACCAUUUGCACCAAAAAAGAUGUGACAUAAGUAUAGCAAAAUAGCAGGAAAGCAGCAGGUGCAGCGGGGAAAAGCGGUGACCGAUUGCCAAGGAGCUUGUGGAGUUUGAUGAUGAGGUCUUUUUCAUCUUCUGACAUCAUUCCUCGCUUGAUAUUUGGCCGCAGGUGUCCAAAAUGAAGAAGGAGAUGAAGAAAGAAGUGAUGAAGAAAUUGACCGUACUUGAGAAAAUUUUCGGAUUGUUGAUAGAUGUUUUAGUAUCGAUCUUUUGAUAUUGAAUUUUGUGAAACUUAUCUCCACUCAAACUUGAUACUAUAUUGCUUUUGAAUUUAGAUUACUAGUUUGUUGGAUAUUUUAAUUUGGAUUAUUAUUAAUGAAAGAUUUUGUUGUGAUGUGUA